rnacentral:rRNA from 1 species
CAGUCGCCGCGGGAAUACGGAGGGUGCAAGCGUUAUCCGGAUUUAUUGGGUUUAAAGGGUCCGUAGGCGGACUUAUAAGUCAGUGGUGAAAGCCUGUCGCUUAACGAUAGAACUGCCAUUGAUACUGUAAGUCUUGAGUAUAUUUGAGGUAGCUGGAAUAAGUAGUGUAGCGGUGAAAUGCAUAGAUAUUACUUAGAACACCAAUUGCGAAGGCAGGUUACCAAGAUAUAACUGACGCUGAGGGACGAAAGCGUGGGUAGCGAACAGGAUUGGAUACCCCUGUAGUCCCUGUCUCUUAUAC